GAUGAACGCUGGCGGCGUGCCUAAUACAUGCAAGUCGAGCGAACGGACGAGAAGCUUGCUUCUCUGAUGUUAGCGGCGGACGGGUGAGUAACACGUGGAUAACCUACCUAUAAGACUGGGAUAACUUCGGGAAACCGGAGCUAAUACCGGAUGAUAUUUUGAACCGCAUGGUUCAAAAGUGAAAGACGGUCUUGCUGUCACUUAUAGAUGGAUCCGCGCUGCAUUAGCUAGUUGGUAAGGUAACGGCUUACCAAGGCAACGAUGCAUAGCCGACCCGAGAGGGUGAUCGGCCACACUGGAGCUGAGACACGGUCCAGACUCCUACGGGAGGCAGCAGUAGGGAAUCUUCCGCAAUGGGCGAAAGCCUGACGGAGCAACGCCGCGUGAGUGAUGAAGGUCUUCGGAUCGUAAAACUCUGUUAUUAGGGAAGAACAUAUGUGUAAGUAACUGUGCACAUCUUGACGGUACCUAAUCAGAAAGCCACGGCUAACUACGU
rnacentral:rRNA from 1 species